AAAUGGUCGUACUCCGCUUGCAAAUGAGAUAUAUGAGCAAAUGGUUGCAGAGAAGGAAAGAGAGCUAGAAGAAGGAGAAGCACAAAAGUCACCCUCCAAGAUUGUUGCUGAUAGUCUCAGCCAGAUCAGCCGCUCAUCCACCUUCCUUCCAAACAUUGGUGUCCCUACAACGUCCAAGACUGGUCGGUCCACAUCGCUAGCUGCACAAGCAUGCAUGCAAGCUCAGUUUGAGGAAAAAUUCCAAGCUGAAAGAGAGGAAGCUGCUAGGAAGCAGGAAGAGUUGCAAGCACAACUACAAGCUCAACAGGCCGCACUUGAAGAAAACCAAUGUUUGCUGCGCCAGACCCAAGAGGAAGUGAAGGGGAUGCAUACCAAGUUUGAAGAGACCAAUGCACUGCUACGAGCUGUCCUGAAACUUCAGAAAGAUUGAGGUAGGGAUGCAUACCAAGUCUGAGGCGAC
rnacentral:misc_RNA from 1 species